rnacentral:tRNA from 1 species
GGGCGGAUAGCUCAGCUGGUUAGAGCACCAGCCUUACAAGCUGGGGGUCCACGGUUCGAACCCGUGUCCGCCCACCA